CACGUAGGGGGCGAGCGUUGUCCGGAUUUAUUGGGCGUAAAGAGCUCGUAGGCGGCUCAGUAAGUCGGGUGUGAAAACUCCAGGCUCAACCUGGAGACGCCACCCGAUACUGCUGUGGCUAGAGUCCGGUAGGGGAGCAUGGAAUUCCUGGUGUAGCGGUGAAAUGCGCAGAUAUCAGGAGGAACACCGGUGGCGAAAGCGGACUUCUGGGCUGCUACUGACGCUGAGGUACGAAAGCGUGGGGAGCAAACAGG
rnacentral:rRNA from 1 species